AUUGAACGCUGGCGGCAUGCCUUACACAUGCAAGUCGAACGGUAACAGGUCUUCGGAUGCUGACGAGUGGCGAACGGGUGAGUAAUACAUCGGAACGUGCCUAGUAGUGGGGGAUAAUUACUCGAAAGAGUGGCUAAUACCGCAUGAGAUCUACGGAUGAAAGCGGGGGAUCGCAAGACCUGGUGCUACUAGAGCGGCCGAUGGCAGAUUCGGUAGUUGGUGGGAUAAAAGCUUACCAACCCGACGAUCUGUAGCUGGUCUGAGAGGACGAGCAGCCACACUGGGACUGAGACACGGCCCAGACUCCUACGGGAGGCAGCAGUGGGGAAUUUUGGACAAUGGGCGAAAGCCUGAUCCAGCAAUGCCGCGUGCAGGAUGAAGGCCUUCGGGUUGUAAACUGCUUUUGUACGGAACGAAAAGCCCCGGGUUAAUACCCUGGGGUCAUGACGGUACCGUAAGAAUAAGCCCCGGCUAACUUCGUGCCAGCCGCCGCGGUAA
rnacentral:rRNA from 1 species